AGCAGCCGCGGUAAUUCCAGCUCCAAUAGCGUAUAUUAAAGUUGUUGCAGUUAAAAAGCUCGUAGUUGAAUUUCGGGAUUGACGUGACGGUCAUGCCUUAAGGGGUAUGAACUGUUACAGUUGAUUUCUCACCUUCUGGAGAAACUUGAUGUCCUUUAUUGGGUGUCUUGCGGAUCUAGGACCUUUACCUUGAAAAAAUUAGAGUGUUUAAAGCAGGCAUUUUUGCUCGAAUACAUUAGCAUGGAAUAAUAGAAUAGGACGGCAUGGUUCUAUUUUGUUGGUUUCUAGGAUCACCGUAAUGAUUAAUAGGGAUAGUUGGGGGCAUUAGUAUUCAAUUGUCAGAGGUGAAAUUCUUGGAUUUAUUGAAGACUAACUACUGCGAAAGCAUUUGCCAAGGAUGUUUUCAUUAAUCAAGAACGAAAGUUAGGGGAUCGAAGACGAUCAGAUACCGUCGUAGUCUUAACCAUAAACUAUGCCGACUAGGAAUCAGACGAUGUUAAUUUUUAAUGACUCGUUUGGC
rnacentral:rRNA from 1 species